rnacentral:lncRNA from 1 species
GGUCGCGAGGAGGUCCCCCGGGCGCGAAGAAGACGCCAGCCCACCCCAGCCGCCGGGGAGAUCGCCCAGGCCGCGCUCAGCCCCGCCCCUGGCUCUGCCCCCGCCGCGGAGCGGAACCCUCCAAGUCGCGGCCUGAGGAGGAAGGAAAAGGGGGCGGCCCGGGAGAGCCGCUGCGAAAUCAGCAACGGGCGGGAACCAGGUUGCCUCCCUGAGUCCCUUCUCUCCCCGGCCGGCUGCCAACCACAGCCAAGGCCAGAGAAACAGGCCCUUCUGCCGCGGCCACCUGGGCGCCUUGGACCCGCCCUCCGGACUCGCCCCCGCCCCUGCCGCGGAGUGGAACGUUUGGAACCCUGAGGGGCACAGCUCCUCUAGCAAUUCCGAUGUGAAAAGAAGAUGGAUGGAGAAGCACUGAUUCAGCCAUGGCUGACAUGUCGGAGUUGGAAUGGACAGUGCCCGGACCUCACAGUCUCAGAGAACUGGAGAAGAGUAAAGCUGAAGAGGGCAUCAUCUGGUUACAAAUGACAAGUCCAGGGCUCCAGCUUCUUCGGCUCCUUGGCCAUGUGUGUACUUUAUGAUGAAGCGCCCAGCUUCUGCAGGAUAUCCAUACUGCCAAGGUCAAAAGCAACAAUAAGCGACGUGGGGCUCAGUCUGUUCUCGUGGGCUACAAUGCAUGCUUCUGGUUUCCAGGUUGUUCUUGCUCUCCCUUAUUUUACAUUUAUCCUUCCUUCCCAACUGCCUGUCCGAUAGAUGUCGAGUCCCAACAUCAGAUGUGAAGAUGAGAGCUUUAUAGAGACUGCUUAACCAGCUCCCACAGUUGUAUUAGGACAAAUCCCUGUAGCAAAUCCCUUUGUGUGUGUGUGUGUGUGUGUGUGUGUGUGUAUGUGUGUGUGUGUGCGCGCGCACGCGCGUGCACGCACCUUAGUGGUUCUCCUGUGAUUGAAUCCUGACUUACACAGUUUGAGAUAGAAACCUUCUGAAGCAAUUAGAUUAAAUGGUCUAUAACUGUGCUGUCCAACAUGGUAGCCAUUAGCUACAUGUGGCUAUUUAAAUUUAAAUUAAUUAAAGUUAAACAUAAUUAGAAUUUAGUACCCCAGUCAAGUUUCAAGUGCUCAAUACUGUGGUCACAUGUGGCUGGUGGCCACUGUUUUGGGCAGCACAGAUAUAGAGCACUUCCGUUAUUGCAAAAAAAUGUUCUAUGAGCACUGGUCUAUAGUGAUAAUUACUAGUAUUUACUGAGUUCUCACCAUGUGUCAGAUGCAGAUUCCAAGUUUGCUCUGGAGAGCACGAUGCGGCAGGCAAACGGGGAAAGAGAGAGAGUGAUGGGAAUCAGGUGGGAGAUUUUUUUUUUUUUUUUUGAGAUGGAGUCUCUCUCACUCUGUCACCCAGGCUGGAGUGCAGUGGCACAAUAUCGGAUCACUGCAACCUCCGCCUCCCAGGUUCAAGUGAUUCUCCUGCCUCAGUCUCCCAAGUAGCCAGGAUUACAGACUUGUACCACCACGCCUGGCUAAGUUUUGUAUUUUUAGUAGAGACAGGGUUUCACCAUGUUGGCCAGGCUGGUCUCGAACCCCUGACCUCAGGUGAUCCACCCUCCUUGACCUUCCAAAGUGCUGAGAUUACAGGUGUGAGCCAUUGCACCUGGCCAGGUGGGAGAUUUUUAAUGACCAGGCCUGGAGGUGGCACACAUCACUUAUACCCACAUCCAUUGGCCAGCACUCAGUUACACGGCCACUUCUAACUACAAGGGAGGUUGGGAAAUGUAGCCUAGCUGUGUGCUGAGGAAGAAAAAGUAAAAGCUUUGGUGCCAGCCAGUCUCUGCCACAUCAGAUUUAAUUUGAGCGCUGUGAAGUAAUUAAUGCCCAUUAAACUAAGGGUGGGACAAGAUUAAUGCUAAAAUCACUCUCCCCAGCCACCAUUUUCUCUCUUGUUCUUUGUCAUGAUAUUGACAAGGUCAAAAGUCAGGCAGUCAGCAUGAACCCGAGGAGGAGAAGUCCUUGCCACUUUGAGGCUGAAUAUGAACAGCCCCUUCUUUAUGACUCACCCUAUCAGCUUUGCUCCUAGCGAAUGUUCAUAUCGUGGUUCUCCGGGACCCUUGAAAGUGGGACUCCUAUGUGAGGAACUAGUUCUAUAAACAACUACAUGCUAGUAAAAAACCAUUAAGAGGGUUGGAAUUAGGCAUAGUCCUGCUGCAUAGAAAUCCUACUUAGUUGGAAAAAUUGUAUUUUUAAGUUGCCUCUGUUUUGAAGCCACGUUAACCCUUAACCUUCAGAAAAUCCUUAGCCAGCCUUUAUACAUUGGUAGCUCCUGUUCUAAUAAUGUCUUCUCCUCCUAUUUUCUUUGGCUUGUCAUGAGCUUUGAAAGUUUGAUCUGAGAUCCCUCACUUUUAAUAAUCUGUAACUCUGAUUUGGUAAUCUCCUACAUAUGAAUAAAAUGUCUGUGUUCAUUUAUUUCUAAUGAAUAAAUGAACAUGCCUGCUGAGCCAAGCCUUAAAUGUGAUUAAGGAGACUGACUUGGGUUCAGAUCCUGGCUCUGCCUUGAGUAAGUUUCUAACAUUCCUCUGCUUGUAUUUCCUUAUCUGUAAAAUGGGAGUGAUUUCUUUGAAUGAAAUUAUAUUACAUUUAUCAAGCAUUUUAUCACAGUUUCAACAAUAAGGUGUAAUUAUUAUUAAUUCAGACUAUAUGAUUCUGUGCCCUUGGAUAAAGUUUACCAUUAUAUAAUAAACUACU